rnacentral:lncRNA from 1 species
UGGCACUAACAGAUCUUAUUUGAGGCAUGUGGAUAGUCUCUUCUCUGUUUAGCAAUAAGAAGGAGAAGAUCUUUGAAAGUACGUGGCUCAUUUCAAUGCGGCCACUCUAGAGGUAAAUUUUAAUGAAUCAGUUGUCAUGUCUGCUUUGAAAAGGAGACUACGGAGCAAUCGUCUGAUUUUUUUUUUAAUAAAAACUUUCUGAAUAAUUAUGAUGAGAUGCU